rnacentral:rRNA from 1 species
UGGGGAAUAUUGCACAAUGGGCGCAAGCCUGAUGCAGCCAUGCCGCGUGUGUGAAGAAGGCCUUCGGGUUGUAAAGCACUUUCAGCGAGGAGGAAGGUGGUGAGCUUAAUACGCUCAUCAAUUGACGUUACUCGCAGAAGAAGCACCGGCUAACUCCGUGCCAGCAGCCGCGGUAAUACGGAGGGUGCAAGCGUUAAUCGGAAUUACUGGGCGUAAAGCGCACGCAGGCGGUUUGUUAAGUCAGAUGUGAAAUCCCCGGGCUCAACCUGGGAACUGCAUUUGAAACUGGCAAGCUAGAGUCUCGUAGAGGGGGGUAGAAUUCCAGGUGUAGCGGUGAAAUGCGUAGAGAUCUGGAGGAAUACCGGUGGCGAAGGCGGCCCCCCUGGACGAAGACUGACGCUCAGGUGCGAAAGCGUGGGGCAGCAAACAGGAUUAGAUACCCUGGUAGUCCAGCGCUGUAAACGAUGUCGAUUUGGAGGUUGUGCCCCUUGAGGCGUGGCUUCCGGAGCUAACGCGUUAAAUCGACCGCC